GUCCCUUCGGGGACAUCCGAUAAAAUUGGAACGAUAUAGAGAAUAUUAGUAUGGCCCCUACACAAGGAUAACACGUGCAAAUCGAUAAAAAAUGCUUGGUGAG